CAGCCGCCGCGGUAAUACCGGCGGCCCGAGUGGCGGCCACUAUUAUUGGGCUUAAAGCGUCCGUAGCCGGGUUGGUUAGUCUCCCGGGAAAUCUGGCCGCUUAACGGUCAGAAUUCCGGGAGAUACUGCCAGCCUAGGGACCGGGAGAGGCCGAGGGUAUUCCCGGAGUAGGGGUGAAAUCCUAUAAUCCCGGGAGGACCACCUGUGGCGAAGGCGCUCGGCUGGAACGGGUCCGACGGUGAGGGACGAAGGCCAGGGGAGCAAACCGGAUUAGAUACCCGGGUAGUCCUGGCUGUAAACGAUGCGGGCUAGGUGUUGGGUGGGCUUAGAGCCCACCCAGUGCCGCAGGGAAGCCGUUAAGCCCGCCGCCUGGGGAGUACGGCCGCAAGGCUGAAACUUAAAGGAAUUGGCGGG
rnacentral:rRNA from 1 species